AUGGUUAUCACUCUUUGGUCGAUUUGGUACUCUCGACGGAAGGCCAUAUAUGAAUCAAUCUUCCAAAGCCCACAGCAAACUGUCAACUUUGUUAACAACCACAUCAACGAUCUAGGUCUCAUCACAUCACGGGAGGAUCAUCCAGGUCUAACUGCCCCCGCCCAAGACCGCCCAACACGGUGGCUUCGUCCGCCGAGCGGCAAAGUCAAGAUCAACGUAGAUGGGGCAGUGGCUAGGCAAAGCAGAGGAGGAGCGAUCGCGGUUCUAUGCCGGGACCACGAGGGAGUCUACUUGGGAUCGUCGGCGGUGGUUUUUCGCCACACGAGGGAUCCCGUUCUUCUGGAGACAUAUGCUUGUCGAGAGGCACUAGCACUCGCCGACGACCUGGCGGUCAGAAACAUCUAUGUGGCUUCGGAUUGCCAGGAGGUGGUAAACAACAUCAACAGGAGCACCGGAGGCCCAAAUGCGUCUAUUGUGCAUGAAAUAUUGAGUCAUUGUAAUAGCUUUAGUUCUUGCUCUUUUGUUCAUGAGCGAAGGAACUUUAAUUUCGAGGCUCAUAAUCUCGCUAAAUUUGCUUGUAAGCUAGGUAUAGGGCGUCAUAUUUGGUUGGGCACACCUCAUGACCCAACAUGUGUACCUAUGACCAUCCCUUUGAUUGAAUAA
rnacentral:rRNA from 1 species